GCUGGCAGUUGAACACACGGAAGGGGAUGUUUACAUAUGAAUAUGGUACAAGAGCCUUCAGCAUGUAAGUAGAAAAUAACAUUAUUUAACAUUUGGCAAAUGCAAUACAUUUGAUGAUGCACUUCAGCUUAUGUUACCUAAUUUCUCCCUGAAGAAACUUUAUAAAUCAAGCAGGACAAUUAUUACUAUCCCUAUUCAACAGAUGAGGGUCAGAGAAGUUAUGUGACUUGCCUAAGCUCACUUAGCUAGUAAAUGACCAAGCUGGGACUGAAAUCUAUUUCCUAUUGCCAACUCCUGUGUUCUCUCUACUAUUACAUGCUGAUAUUCCCGAUGCUAUUUAUAAUUUUGUUUCACAGUUUAUAAUGCACUUUCAACUGUAUUACCCUACUAGAUCUCAUUUGAUACUAUUCCUUUGUCCCUAGGAACACAUCUAAUAUGUGGCUUUAGCUUUUGCCUUGUAAGAUAAUUGCUGUCUCUCAGACAGAAUAAUUACUGAGGUAGGGCAGUUAGUUGUAAUACCUUCAAAGAUAUGUGUUCAUAAUGAAAGAAAAUUUCUGCAGCUUUGUUAGGAAAACCAAUUCUAGUAUAUUUAUCUAAGUAUGCUCAUUUAUCUAAGUGUGUUCAUUUUUGCAUUUGAUAUCUGAAACAAUAAUGCAGCUCUUAAUAUCACACACAAAAGUUCUUCACUGUUGGGAAAUAUAGACUAGGUAGGUAAACAAUUUUCUUUACUGGAGUAUUAUCUUCUAGAAAUAUUUAGAAAUGUAUAUCUAGUCUAGAUGAUAUAUUACUGUUUUGAUCUUUACAGCUGUAAUCAAAUCUACUUGAAAUGUAAUAAUUCUUUGGUAUUUCUUCAUUUGGGGCAAUCGGAAAACUGAAACUCAGAGAAGUCAAAAAGAUUAGGCACUUAGAUAUACAACCAGCCAUUGACAGGUGGACUCAGAACUCACUUUUCCUGGUUUCUAGGUCCAUUUUCCAUUUCUUCUAUGGUGUAUCUCUUGUUUCUAAAUCAGAACUGUGUGGCAAGAAAAAUUUUUUAAAACAUCUCUUAGGAGUCAGAAGACAAGGGUGUAGAUACUAUCUCUGACAAUGACUACCUGUAUAAACUUGGCCAAGCCAUUUAGCCCCUCUUAACAUCAAGUGUGCUCAAAGAUCUAUUUAAAGUAAAUGGUUCUCUAUUUUACCAGAAUGAUACAGCCAUUCCAUGUAAAAUAAACAUCAAUUACUUAUGUUGAAUCUAAUGAGUGGGAUAAGUAUAGCGCGUGUUCACCUAGAUGAACUGAGAAUACAGUCUCUAAGUAUUUGCUGUUUGUAAAAUAACCAGAUUCUGGUGCGGAAAUCUCUCUUCUUUCAUUCACCACUUAGAUCUUUCAACUUUUCAUACAAGUAAAAUUAGACAUGCAAGUGACUUUGUCCUGCAUCUUUAGACCAUCUCUAUUCUAUUCCAAUUGUUACAAAUCAUUAAGAACAGACAACUCUAAUAGAAAAACUAGCAUUUUACAAAAAAAUUAUAUUAAUGGCUAUUAAAUGUAUGGAAUAGUGCUCAUCUUAAUUAGACAUUAAGGGAGUGCAAUUUAAAACCAUAAUGUAUUACCCUUACAUACUCACCAGAAUGGCUAAAAAGAAAAAGAACAAGUGUUAAUGAGAAUGUAGCAAAAUUGAAUUCUCCUAAACUGCUGGUGGGUAUACAAAUUAAUACAACCAUUUGGAAAACUGUUUGAUGAGUAUCUACUAAAGAUUAAGAUAAACAUACUCUGAACUCAGAAAUUUUACUCCUAGGUAUACAUUCCCUACAAAAAAAAAAAUUGUAUAAGCAUAAAUAAAAGACAUGUAUAAGGAUGUUGGUAGCCAGACCAACCAUAAUGGCCCUAACUGGAAACUCAAAUGUGUAUCAAGAGCAGAAUGGAUAAGUUAAAGUAUAUUCACUCAGUAGAAAACUCUACAAUGAAUGUUAAUGAGCCCCAACUAUGGACAACAUGAAUGACCCCUACAAAAUAACAGCCUGUGUUGUCCCAGACAGAGCAGCAGUCACACUACUUCUAAAGAAUAACGUGCUGUCUUCACACUACAAAAGGUUGUCAUCCUAGAAAAGGCAACUUUAACCUAAAAUCUAUGUCAAGUUGAGUCUCACUUUCCAACAAAAGCAGUAUUUCCUUAGAAUACCUAACACUGUAUGGGAAGUUCAAAAAUACCAAGUUCAUCAGCUCUGUAAACAGUGACUGACAGACAGCUAUAGCCUGAUCGUCCCUUCCCAUUAGAAUUUUGGAAGAGAACCUUGGGCAACAGUCUGGCAUGGCAUUUCUGAAGUGCGUCCGCAUCACUAUCUUCAUCUCCAUCACCACUGGCAUCAUCACUGCUAACAUUCACUAAAACCUCAUAUGAGAUACUCUGUAAGCACUUAAUCCAACAAGUCUGUGAGGUGGACUCCAAACUCUUCCAGGACCCAGAGGAAAGACCGUGGGAAGGCUGAAAAGAAAAAGGUGGAGGUGUAGAAAGUGAAAGAAUUUCAACUUGGAAAAAGACAUGACCUACAAUUAUGUUCACCUGCCUUAUUUAGAAAAACAUCUUGAAGCCAUCCUUCAGUGUUAAAAGCAGAAGGUAACUGCCUUUUGAAAUCAGUUCUUCAUUUUUGUGCUGGAUUUUGCUUUUGCAGCUUCUCAAAUACAUAAGCCAAUCUUUGACUUACAAGAAUAAGUGGCAUUGAUGCUAUGGUAGGUUGACCUCAGUAGCUAAAAAAUCCAAUAGUUUAAAAAUUGAGCUCAUUUUUCAUGAGACAUAAGCCAUGAAAAAUAUAAUGAAAAUAGAGUUGACAUCCUGCAAUUCUAACUUCUUUUACUUGAGAGAAAAACAAGGGAUGAUUCUCUUCUGACCUCAUUAUUGCUUCCUUUUAUAUCUAUGUGGACUUCAUGAACCUGCUACAGAAACUUGAGCAGAAAUGCUAAA